UACGGAGGGUGCAAGCGUUACUCGGAAUCACUGGGCGUAAAGGGUGCGUAGGCUGGCUUUUAAGUCAGAUGUGAAAUCCAAUGGCUCAACCAUUGAACUGCAUUUGAAACUGAGAGCCUAGAGUUCAGAAGGGGCAGAUGGAAUUAGUGGUGUAGGGGUAAAAUCCGUAGAUAUCACUAGGAAUAUCAAAAGCGAAGGCGAUCUGCUGGGAUGAUACUGACGCUGAGGCACGAAAGCGUGGGGAGCAAACAGG
rnacentral:rRNA from 1 species